AGCAUGAUCACACAUUUAAUCGAGAUGCAUAAAUUCCUAUACAAAAUUCUCAUGUAUGUUUCGAACUAACCUGCACUUUAAGGCCAUAUUUACCAACAUGUAGGAGAUCAGCUCUAGAGAAAUGGCACUUAAAAUACAUCGGAAAUAGGAUGUUGAAAUGAACAACAAUACCUGGCAAACUCUAUACAUAACAUGCCUGCCGUAUUUGGCUCCUGAACUUUAGCUCCUCCUCCGUCCAUUUUAGAGUCCCCAUUCCUAAAAACAAAACAUUUCAUACAUGAAAAUAUUAUAUGUCUCCAAGGGAUAGUGGUAACCACAAUGUUUAAUUCAGGAGCUAUUAUCAAUAUAAAAUAUAAGAUGAAAAGUGAGAAAUUUAUUGUAUGUGCUAAAAGUGCUUCGUAAGUAUAAUUAAUAAAUGGUGCAGAUCUCUAACAUCAUAAUUGGGAACCUAGAAUACUCGCCGAUGACUGUUUGUAUGGCAUUAAGGGACGAAUGAGGUCAGGGGCUAAGGCGGGUGGUCGAGGAUUGAACAUGAUCUUGCCAGUCAUCUGAUUCUAUGACUCUCGGGGCUAAGCAUCCCCAUGCUUUCUGCUUAACCAUGUCCUUGUCUGCGCCAUGCCGUGUACGCAACUCAGCUCGAGGAACACAACCCUUAAUUCCCUCUAUCAAUGGAAUAGUGUGCAACCUGUGUACGUAUUCACGGAAAAAAGUACUCUCUUCUUUUUUAUCACCAUCUAGAUGUUCUAACCAAAAUUGAACAAAACGUAGGAGCAAGCUAGCGCUCUUUGUACAGUAGUGCACGCAAAAUGCACAUCUUGACCACUAUAAAUACACAAAAUAUAAAUUGUAAGUAUUAGGAGUGUAAAAAAUACAUAUGCGUUUAGACUAAAAAUAACCUCUCAAGAAUUAUGCCAGCCUAUGUGUUAUGCUUAUAGAUGAAAUACUUACAUGGCCAGCCACAAGACAAUGCAAGAGAUUGUCCAUCACUUUCAUAAUAAAAUGCUCGGUUGUACCGAGUGCAGAUUUUUUUACCUCUAUGACAUAUUAAUGAUCUAUCAUCAAAAGAUUCAGGCAGGUCAAUGAGGUCAUGUAUACCAGGUUGCCGCCAAUAGACGAUCGACCAGGCUUCUUGGUUCAUCCUUUUCCUUCAAAAGCUCCACAUAGUCACCUGUCGGAAGAACACUUCACUAUACCAAGAAAUGAGUUCACGUGUUUAUAGUUAAACAUCCCUUCAUGAUCAUCUAUUCGCUUAUUAGAUUUAAGAAAAAUACUCAGAUGAGUAUUAGAUCAAUACCCUGCAACCGCAACUGAAUUGGCAUUGCCAUCAUCAUUAUCGCAGACCUGCAGUCCUCAUGCAAUCACACACACCACCGUCAUCACAAGGACAUUAAUGCCAUCGUAACUGUGUAUUUAAAAUAAAAACGAUAAUCAAAAUAGGGCCUUGGUGUUUCUUUUUCAUGCUCAGACAUGAACAUGGCCACAAAAAGGGGUUUGGCACGCCCUAUUAACCCUUUAGAAACUCCCCUACCCAUAAGUAAGACCAUCUAUGAUUAUGCAAUCUUGCAUAUAGCCUAGAUAAAUGGUGAAACCAAUUGAAGAUCCUCUGAAUGCAUAUAAAUUGUAGAAGAAAAGUUUUGGUAAAAAAUCACAAAAAACUACCUUUAGAAUGUUGCAAAUGUACUGGUGCCCAGUCACAGUAUAUAUGCAACUAUGCAUGAGUCUACGAUUCUACCACAAGGAUCAAAUAGACAACAAUUUGGAGCAUGGUGUUGUGUGACAUCUCAGAAAGUGAAUGAAUGAAUUUUUGAUUGUUGCAGAAAAUUGCAUAUAUAGAUUUUCAAUGUAGAAACGAACUUUAUGCCUAUGUUAUUUGUACAUACAGAAUGUCUUUCUUGGUUCCCAAAGAGGUUCGGUAACCAUCCUAAGUAAGCAAUCGAACAUACCUUGAAUCACUUUAGCAAAAUAUUGCAGACGGAAGUAAGUCCAGCCCAUGUCUUAUCAACUGCAAAAAGAUUCCUCAGGCAA
rnacentral:lncRNA from 1 species